UAAUUCUUCACAGUCUCCAUU
ensembl:piRNA 21ur-9711 ncRNA